AGAGUUUGAUCCUGGCUCAGAACGAACGCUGGCGGCGCGCCUAAUACAUGCAAGUCGAGCGAGAAGACGUAGCAAUACGUUUGUAAAGCGGCGAACGGGUGAGGAAUACAUGGGUAACCUACCCUAGAGUGGGGAAUAACUAGCCGAAAGGUUAGCUAAUACCGCGUACGCUUCUUGGACUUCGGUUCAGGGAGGAAAGCGAUACCGAGGGUAUCGCGCUCUUGGAUGGGCUCAUGUCCUAUCAGCUUGUUGGUGAGGUAACGGCUCACCAAGGCUUCGACGGGUAGCUGGUCUGAGAGGACGAUCAGCCACACUGGCACUGCGACACGGGCCAGACUCCUACGGGAGGCAGCAGUAAGGAAUAUUGCGCAAUGGGCGAAAGCCUGACGCAGCGACGCCGCGUGGGGGAUGAAGGUCUUCGGAUUGUAAACCCCUUUCGGGAGGGAAGAUGGAAUGGGGUAACCCAUUCGGACGGUACCUCCAGAAGCAGCCACGGCUAACUUCGUGCCAGCAGCCGCGGUAAUAC
rnacentral:rRNA from 1 species